AUUGAACGCUGGCGGCAGGCUUAACACAUGCAAGUCGAACGAGGUAGCAAUACCUAGUGGCGAACGGGUGAGGAAUGCUUGGGAAUCUGCCUUGUAGUGGGGGAUAACGUUUCGAAAGGAACGCUAAUACCGCAUACGUCCUACGGGAGAAAGGGGGGGAUCUUCGGACCUCUCGCUAUAAGAUGAGCCCAAGUCGGAUUAGCUAGUUGGUGGGGUAAAGGCCCACUAAGGCAACGAUCCGUAGCUGGUCUGAGAGGAUGAUCAGCCACACUGGAACUGAGACACGGUCCAGACUCCUACGGGAGGCAGCAGUGGGGAAUAUUGGACAAUGGGCGCAAGCCUGAUCCAGCCAUGCCGCGUGUGUGAAGAAGGCCUUCGGGUUGUAAAGCACUUUAAGCGGGGAGGAAGGGCUUUGGUUUAAUAAACCGGAGCAUUGACGUUACCCGCAGAAUAAGCACCGGCUAACUCUGUGCCAGCAGCCGCGGUAAUACAGAGGGUGCAAGCGUUAAUCGGAAUUACUGGGCGUAAAGCGCGCGUAGGCGGUUGUGCAAGUUGGAGGUGAAAUCCCCGGGCUUAACCUGGGCACUGCCUUCAAAACUGCACGGCUAGAGUAUGGGAGAGGAAGGUAGAAUUCCAGGUGUAGCGGUGAAAUGCGUAGAGAUCUGGAGGAAUACCGAUGGCGAAGGCAGCCUUCUGGCCUAAUACUGACGCUGAGGUGUGAAAGCAUGGGGAGCAAACAGGAUUAGAUACCCUGGUAGUCCAUGCCGUAAACGAUGUCAACUAGUUGUUGGGAGACUUGAUCUCUUAGUGACGCAGCUAACGCAUUAAGUUGACCGCCUGGRGAGUACGGUCGCAAGACUAA
rnacentral:rRNA from 1 species